UAAUAAGUAUGUAAAGAGGAGUUGCGACAACAACUCCCCUUGUGACAGCACCGUUUAAAGAACGGUGACGAUUGUACUAUUUAAUA
rnacentral:sRNA from 1 species